rnacentral:rRNA from 1 species
GACGAACGCUGGCGGCGUGGAUUAGGCAUGCAAGUCGAACGGUAUCAUCCUUUCGGGGGUGAGAGAGUGGCGAACUGGUGAGUAACACGUAGGUUAUCUACCCUCAAGACGGGGACAACCCAGGGAAACUUGGGCUAAUACCGGAUGUGAGCAACUUUUAGUUGUUUGAAAGGUGGCGUAAGCUGUCGCUUGGGGAUGAGCCUGCGUCCUAUUAGUUAGUUGGUGAGGUAACGGCUCACCUAGGCAAUGAUAGGUAGGCGGCCUUAACGGGUGGUCGCCCACACUGGGAUUGAGAUACGGCCCAGACUCCUACGGGAGGCAGCAGUCGAGAAUAGUCUACAAUGGUCGGAAGACUGAUAGUGCGACGCCGCGUGAACGAUGAAUCCUUCGGGUGUAAAGUUCUUUUAUAUGUGAGCAGUGCUUCUUAUAUUAACAGUAUGGGAGAGAGAUAUUAGCAUAUAGAAUAAGACAACGGCUAACUCCGUGCCAGCAGCCGACGGU